AUUGAACGCUGGCGGCAGGCCUAACACAUGCAAGUCGAACGAGUGGCGGACGGGUGAGUAAUGUCUGGUAAACUGCCCGAUGGCGGGGGAUAACUCCUGGAAACGGUAGCUAAUCCCGCAUACCAUCGGAUGUGCCCAGAUGGGAUUAGCUAGUAGGUGGGGUAACGGCUCACCUAGGCGACGAUCCCUAGCUGGUCUGAGAGGCUGACCAGCCACACUGGAACGGAGACAGGGUCCAGACGCCUAAGGGAGGCAGCAGAGGGGAAUAUUGAACAAUGGGCGCAAGCGUUAUGCAGCCAUGCCGCGUGGAUGAAGAAGGACGUCGGGUUGUAAAGUACUUUCAGAGGGGAGGCGUUACUCGAAGAAGAAGCACCGGCUAACUCCGUGCCAGCAGCCGCGGUAAUAC
rnacentral:rRNA from 1 species